ACAGUGGACGCGAGCAUCUGUGGCCAAGUUUUUAAGGGCGCACGGUGGAUGCCUUGGCACCAGGAACCGAUGAAGGACGUGGGAGGCCACGAUAGUCCCCGGGGAGUCGUCAACCAGGCUUUGAUCCGGGGGUUUCCGAAUGGGGAAACCCGGCAGUCGUCAUGGGCUGUCACCCGCUGCUGAACACAUAGGCAGUGUGGAGGGAACGAGGGGAAGUGAAACAUCUCAGUACCCUCAGGAAGAGAAAACAACCGUGAUUCCGGGAGUAGUGGCGAGCGAAACCGGAUGAGGCCAAACCGUAUACGUGUGAGACCCGGCAGGGGUUGCGUGUGCGGGGUUGUGGGAUCUCUCUUCYRYSGUCUGCCGGCSRYRGGACGAGUCAGAAACCGUUGAUGUAGGCGAAGGACAUGCGAAAGGUCCGGCGUAGAGGGUAAGACCCCCGUAGUCGAAACGUCAGCGGCUCGUUUGAGAGACACCCAAGUAGCACGGGGCCCGAGAAAUCCCGUGUGAAUCUGGCGGGACCACCCGCUAAGCCUAAAUAUUCCCUGGUGACCGAUAGCGGAUAGUACCGUGAGGGAAUGGUGAAAAGUACCGCGGGAGCGGAGUGAAAUAGUACCUGAAACCGUGUGCCUACAAGCCGUGGGAGCGUCGGAWMWSWGCUUGCWSWKWUCUCGUGACUGCGUGCCUUUUGAAGAAUGAGCCUGCGAGUUUGCGGUGUGUUGCGAGGUUAACCCGGGUGGGGUAGCCGUAGCGAAAGCGAGUCCGAACAGGGCGRYUUUAGUAGCACGCUCAAGACCCGAAGCGGAGUGAUCUAGCCAUGGGCAGGUUGAAGCGGAGGUAAGACUUCGUGGAGGACCGAACCCACCAGGGUUGAAAACCUGGGGGAUGACCUGUGGUUAGGGGUGAAAGGCCAAUCAAACUCCGUGAUAGCUGGUUCUCCCCGAAAUGCAUUUAGGUGCAGCGUCGUGUGUUUCUUGCCGGAGGUAGAGCACUGGAUAGGCGAUGGGCCCUACCGGGUUACUGACCUUAGCCAAACUCCGAAUGCCGGUAAGUGAGAGCGCGGCAGUGAGACUGUGGGGGAUAAGCUCCAUGGUCGAGAGGGAAACAGCCCAGAGCAUCGACUAAGGCCCCUAAGCGUACGCUAAGUGGGAAAGGAUGUGGAGUCGCAGAGACAACCAGGAGGUUGGCUUAGAAGCAGCCACCCUUGAAAGAGUGCGUAAUAGCUCACUGGUCUAGUGAUUCCGCGCCGACAAUGUAGCGGGGCUCAAGCGUACCGCCGAAGUCGUGUCAUUSMWRYAAYASGSCCAACGSCKNYWKKGAUGGGUAGGGGAGCGUCGUGUGCCGGGUGAAGCYGCGCCGGAAGGCAGUGGUGGACGGUUCACGAGUGAGAAUGCAGGCAUGAGUAGCGAUUCACACGUGAGAAACGUGUGCGCCGAUUGACUAAGGGUUCCUGGGUCAAGCUGAUCUGCCCAGGGUAAGUCGGGACCUAAGGCGAGGCCGACAGGCGUAGUCGAUGGAUAACCGGUUGAUAUUCCGGUACCCGCUGUGAAGCGUCAAACAUCGAACCHRKYRAUGCUAAGKCCGUGAAGCCGYYCCGGASCCUUCGGGGMAAGGRRAGUGGUGGAGCCGMYGRMCCARRSUKGYAGUAGGUGAGUGAUGGGGUGACGCAGGAAGGUAGUCCAGCCCGGGCGGUGGUUGUCCCGGGGUAAGGGUGUAGSMCGWSAKGUAGGCAAAUCCGCCWSWCAYWKAGKSUGAGACCUGAUGCCGAGCCGAUUGUGGUGAAGUGGAUGAUCCUAUGCUGUCGAGAAAAGCCUCUAGCGAGUUUCAUGGCGGCCCGUACCCUAAACCGACUCAGGUGGUCAGGUAGAGAAUACCGAGGCGUUCGGGUGAACUAUGGUUAAGGAACUCGGCAAAAUGCCCCCGUAACUUCGGGAGAAGGGGGGCCAYVHYUGGUGAGRRSACUUGCUSYYCGAGCUGGGGGUGGCCGCAGAGACCAGCGAGAAGCGACUGUUUACUAAAAACACAGGUCCGUGCGAAGCCGUAAGGCGAUGUAUACGGACUGACGCCUGCCCGGUGCUGGAACGUUAAGGGGACCGGUUAGUCAVKMUUCGKSKUGGCGAAGCUGAGAACUUAAGCGCCAGUAAACGGCGGUGGUAACUAUAACCAUCCUAAGGUAGCGAAAUUCCUUGUCGGGUAAGUUCCGACCUGCACGAAUGGCGUAACGACUUCUCGACUGUCUCAACCAUAGGCCCGGUGAAAUUGCACUACGAGUAAAGAUGCUCGUUUCGCGCAGCAGGACGGAAAGACCCCGGGACCUUUACUACAGUUUGAUAUUGGUGUUCGGUUCGGCUUGUGUAGGAUAGGUGGGAGACUGUGAAGCUUGGACGCCAGUUCAGGUGGAGUCGUCGUUGAAAUACCACUCUGGUCGUGCUGGAUGUCUAACCUGGGUCCGUGAUCCGGAUCAGGGACAGUGUCUGAUGGGUAGUUUAACUGGGGCGGUUGCCUCCUAAAGGGUAACGGAGGCGCCCAAAGGUUCCCUCAGCCUGGUUGGCAAUCAGGUGUUGAGUGUAAGUGCACAAGGGAGCUUGACUGUGAGACCGACGGGUCGAGCAGGGACGAAAGUCGGGACUAGUGAUCCGGCGGUGGCUUGUGGAAGCGCCGUCGCUCAACGGAUAAAAGGUACCCCGGGGAUAACAGGCUGAUCUUCCCCAAGAGUCCAUAUCGACGGGAUGGUUUGGCACCUCGAUGUCGGCUCGUCGCAUCCUGGGGCUGGAGUCGGUCCCAAGGGUUGGGCUGUUCGCCCAUUAAAGCGGUACGCGAGCUGGGUUUAGAACGUCGUGAGACAGUUCGGUCCCUAUCCGCUGUGCGCGUAGGAGUCUUGAGAAGGGCUGUCCCUAGUACGAGAGGACCGGGACGGACGAACCUCUGGUGUGCCAGUUGUUCUGCCAAGGGCAUGGCUGGUUGGCUACGUUCGGGAGGGAUAACCGCUGAAAGCAUCUAAGCGGGAAGCCUGCUUCGAGAUGAGGACUCCCACCCACUUGAUGGGGUAAGGCUCCCAGUAGACGACUGGGUUGAUAGGCCGGAUCUGGAAGCACGGUAACGUGUGGAGGUGACCGGUACUAAUAGGCCGAGGGCUUGUCCUCAGUUG
rnacentral:rRNA from 1 species